UUCCCCAGGUGUUCGUUGCUGGGUGCGGACUUUCUCGAGUUGCGGCAAGCAGGGGCUACUCUUUGUUGCCUCGCCUGGGCUUCUCAUUGCAGUGGCUUCUCUUGUUGCGGAGCACAGGCUCUAGGCUCCUGGGCUUCUGUAGUUGCAGCGUGUGGGCUCUGUCCUUGUGGUUCCCGGGCUCUAGAGGACAGGCUCGAUAGUUGUGGUGCAUGGGCUUAGUUGCCCUGUAGCAUGUGGGAUCUUAUUCCCCAAGCCAGGGAUUGAACCUGCGACCCCUCCAUUGGCAGGCAGAUUCUUCACCACUGGACCACCAGGGAAGUCCUGGAGCUGGAAUUCUUGAGCAGGAGAAUUUGGCCGGUCACACGGAUCGGGAAUUGCUGCUCUUGCUUUGGCCUCAUUGAGUCAAGUGGGCCCUCUCUGCUCCCUUAUUGACGGGGCCCCACCCCACCCAGAGCAUCCUUGGGAAUACUUCCUGUUGGACCCGGGCGAGUGCCUGGAUGGGUCCUUUGGUACCCUUAGGUUUCAAACAAAUGCAAAUGGAGGGCGCAAAUGAAGCUGCUCCUGGGGAGAGGGGCUGAGGGCCCUCAUGAGUAGCAGCUGGCGGCCAGCUGGCCCCUGUUAGGAGGGUGGCGGGGAGAUUUGGGGUGAGCUCUGACCAGGGUGCAGCCAGGGCCUUCAGGAUGGUCUCACCUUGACUCUUGCCCAGUGACUCAGUGGUAAAGAAUACGUCUGCAAUGCAGGAGACUCAGGAGACACAGGUUCUAUCCCUGGGUCGGGAAGAUCCCUUGGAGGAGGGCAUGGCAACCCACUCCAAUAUCCUUGGCUGGAAAAUCCCAUGAACAGAGGAACCUGGUGGGCUACAGUCCAUGAGAUCGAAAAGAGUCGGAGCCGACUGAAGUGACUGAACAUGCACUUACACCUUGGCUCUGGUCUGUCCUGAGCUAAAUGUGAGGACCUGGGCUGCUGUCGGCCCACUUCGCUGCCCCCUCCCCUUAUUACAGAGCAGCAGCAGCAGCAAACCCACCUCCCUGGGAGCCUCAGCGCAGAACCACCCUAAUUAUGAGGAAGAGGAACUGAGAACAUAGAUGGACACAGAG
ensembl:lncRNA